UUGACAGAUCAUGUGAUGAAGGCACCAGAUCCUAUCUGAUCUCAGAUACAAAACAUGAUCAAGCCUGUUUAGUAUUUGGAAGGGAGACUGCUAUAACUACCUUAGGCUAUAUUUCAAA
rnacentral:rRNA from 11 species